UACCGAGGAAAUCCUCGGUAGUUAACUGCAUCCGGUUUUCUAAAACUUCGACAGUUAACUGUCGAGGGGCAU
rfam:Medicago truncatula strain A17 chromosome 3, whole genome shotgun sequence.